GUAUCAAUAACCUCAGAACUAUGGAAAGAACCAUGUGUGGAGUUUGGCACCACAGAUAUUCUCUGAGUGAUUGAAGUCUCUUCUACCAUGAGGCCUUGAAAGCUCCAUGAUAGAGAUGACAGAGCUAUAAGAUGAAAGCAGCCCAAAUCCCUGAGUCACCAAUGUUUGAAGAAGAGCUUCCCAGGAGAGGUACCAGACCCACAUGAGACUUCACAUGAUUAUAAAAUGAACUUCUAUUGUGUUGAA